AUGGAGACGGUUCUUGUCACAACUCGGUUUCCAUCUAUAGCACAUAUGGUGAAAAUCACUGAUCCAGUAGAACUACAUAGUUUGGAGCCUAAUGAUUUCUUUGAAUUCUUUGAAGCAUGUAUGUUUGGUCAUAGCAAACCCGAGCAUUAUGAAGAUGAGCUAAUUGAUGUCGCAAGAGAUAUUGCAAAGAAACUAAAGGGUUCACCACUAGCAGCCGAUACAGUUGGUCGAUUAUUGGAGAAAAACCUUUCUCGGGACUAUUGGAUUGGAGUUCUUGAAAAGGAUGAAUGGCAAAAUGCCAAAGAUGUUGAUGACAUUAUGCCAUCUCUAAAAAUUAGUUAUGAUUGCCUCCCUUUCCUUCUGAAAAAAUGUUUUUCUUAUUUUGCCGUUUUCCCUGAAGAUUAUAGGUUUUAUAAUUUAGAAAUUACUAGCUUUUGGACCGUGAUAGGUAUCUUAGACUCUAGUUGCCAAGACAAUAACAAUUACUUAUAA
rnacentral:rRNA from 1 species